ACACCUGUGUGUCAGUUCUCCUGGGAGACCAGUUCUCUCCAUGAGGAAUUUGGUUAUGGAGAGCUGUGAUACAGGGUCAGCUCUGGGAUGCAGAAAAAGACCAGAAGGAUCCUGUUCCCAGCUGACUCUUGGUUCCUGUGUCUUGAUGGCUUUGUAAGGGUCCCUCUUGGGCCAGGAAUUUGAAGAGAAGUGGUGAUCUUACCUGUGCUCACAGUUGUUUAGGUACUCCUGGGAGACCUGGAGUAUUUGUGUAUUUAGCUCUGUGGCACAGUAUCAACUCUGGGUGCAAACAGAGACUGGAAGACUCCCGUCCCAGGCUGCCCCUUGGUUCCUGUGUCCUGAGUGUUUUAGAAGUGGAUAACAAUACUGAAGAGAAGUCUUUGUCCAGGCUCCCUGACAAACCUGACCCUGAUAUUCCUGGGCCAACAAUAGAGGACAACGACAGUAUUUCUAUUAUAAAGGCCUGUGAGUGCAGGUGGGACCACCACUGCUGCUCAGAGGAGCCCGCCCUGAAUCCUCAGGACACAGGGACCAAGGGGCAUCAUGGAACAGGAGCCUUCCUGCUCAGAGAAGCCUGCCCUGAAUCCUCAGGACACAAGAAACUAGGGGCGGCCUGGAACCUGAGCAUCCCAGUUUCUGUCUCCCAAUCUGCUACAAUGCUCCAUACCCAAAUAGCUCCAGGAGGGAGCGAGCCUCCCAACAGUGCGGGCAGGCCUGUGAGAGCACGUAGGACCACCACUGCUACUCAGAGGAACCCUCCCAGAACCCUCAGGACACAGGAACUGAGGGGGUGCCUGGGACAGGAGUCUUCUGGUUUCUGACUGUGCCCAGAGUUGAUACUAUUCCACAGAGCUACAUAUACAAAUUAUGCCAAGAGAGAGCUGGUUUCCCAGGAGUGCCUAGACACCUGCCAGCAGAGAAAAUAUCUAAAGACCCAGAAAUGAAUAUAAAUAACACUGAGUCUAUCUCUACAAAAACUUCAACGAGUUUUUUACAUCAGAACAUGUUGGUCAGAAGAAGUGUAGAGAAAAGAGUUCAAAAACUUUUAGGAAGAAGUGAAGCUAAUGUUUGUUCUCAGGAAGUGCCACUACCUAUUACCUCUGAAGGACAAACACCCAUAAAGCCUCCAUCUGAGGACGCAAAUGAAGAAAAAUGGGCCCAACAAGUUGCAACACAGUAUUUAUUUCUUAACCAGUACCUCAAGGAAAGAUUAAAGGAGAGGAUGAAAGAAGGUACUGACAACUCUGAAUCUGAAGCUUCUGAUGAAGAGCCAUUACCUAGUUCUACCUCUGCAGGAAGAACACACUCAAUGAAAAUGACAGAGAAAAAGAAGAAACAUGAAAGAAAAGAUGCAUACAUGCAUUCAAGACAUUCUUCAGUUAAGAGGAAUGAUGACAUAAAGAAGCAAGUUGACUGGCACCAUGAGCAACUGAAGGAACUCCUCAAAAAUGACAUAAAGGAAAUACUGAAGGAGCAAUUGGCUACAGAGCAUGCAAGGAUGAGGAAACUCCUUAGAAAGGAUGCGAAGAAAAUUAGUGAACUAAUCAGGAAUGAAUUAACGCAAAUAUACGCUGAGCAGGUGGCUCUUCUUCAAGCACAGAGAACAUCUCUACAACAAAAAG